GGAAGGGCCAUAGCUCAGUAGUAGGGCACAUGCCCUGCAUGCAGAAGGUUCCAGGUUCAAUCCCUGGCAUUUCCA